ACCCAGGUGACUUAGUGGUAAAGAAUCUGCCUGCAAUGCAGGAAACUUGGGUUCCAUGCCUGGGUC
rfam:Ovis aries breed Texel chromosome 13, whole genome shotgun sequence.